UCCUGGCUCAGGAUGAACGCUAGCGGCAGGCUUAACACAUGCAAGUCGAGGGGCAGCGCUGAGUAGCAAUACUCUGGCGGCGACCGGCGAAAGGGUGAGUAACGCGUGAGCAACAUGCCCGGUAGUGGAGGAUAGUCGAUGGAAACGUCGCGUAAUACUCCGUAACAACAUUGACCGCAUGAUCGAUGUUUAAUAGAUUUAUUGCUAUCGGAUUGGCUCGCGUACCAUUAGCUAGUUGGCGGGGUAACGGCCCACCAAGGCGACGAUGGUUAGGGGUUCUGAGAGGAAGGUCCCCCACAUUGGAACUGAGACACGGUCCAGACUCCUACGGGAGGCAGCAGUGAGGAAUAUUGGACAAUGGCCGGAAGGCUGAUCCAGCCAUGCCGCGUGCGGGGAAAGACGGCCCUAUGGGUUGUAAACCGCUUUUGUUGGAGAGCAAUAAGGGUCACGUGUGGCCUGAUGAGAGUACCCAGCGAAUAAGCAUCGGCUAACUCCGUGCCAGCAGCGGC
rnacentral:rRNA from 1 species